GACGAACGCUGGCGGCGCGCUUAACACAUGCAAGUCGAACGGAAAGGCCUGCUUUCCCUUGUGGAUUGCGGGUACUCGAGUGGCGAACGGGUGAGUAACACGUGAGUGAUCUGCCCCCAACUUGGGUAUAAGCCUGGGAAACUGGGUCUAAUUCCCGAUAGGACUGCAGGGUGGUGCCUGUGGUGGAAAACGAUUUUCUAGUGGUUGGGGAUGAGCUCGCGGCCUAUCAGCUUGUUGGUGGGGUAAUGGCCUACCAAGGCGGCGACGGGUAGCCGGCCUGAGAGGGUGGACGGCCACAUUGGGACUGAGAUACGGCCCAGACUCCUACGGGAGGCAGCAGUGGGGAAUAUUGCACAAUGGGCGGAAGCCUGAUGCAGCGACGCCGCGUGGGGGAUGACGGCCUACGGGUUGUAAACUCCUUUCGACCGCGAGGAAGCCACCUGGUUGGAAGGGUGGUGACGGUAGUGGUAGAAGAAGCACCGGCUAACUACGUG
rnacentral:rRNA from 1 species